rnacentral:misc_RNA from 1 species
GACGAACCGUCCUAACGUUGUUCGGAUUCACUGGGCUUAAAGGGCGCGUAGGCGGGUGAGCAAGUCCGGGGUGAAAUCUUUCGGCUCAACCGGAAAAUGGCCUUGGAUACUGCUCGUCUCGAGGGAGGUAGGGGUCUGCGGAACUUCCGGUGGAGCGGUGAAAUGCGUUGAUAUCGGAAGGAACGCCGGUGGCGAAAGCGGCGGACUGGACCUCUUCUGACGCUGAGGCGCGAAAGCUAGGGUAGCGAACGGG